GUCUCUGGAUGGUGCAGUUAAAGAAUUCAGCUUCUAACUGAAAGGUUGGUGGUUUAAGUCCACCCAGAGGUG
rnacentral:tRNA from 1 species